CCUUCGACUUUACUGUUUUGGGAACGUCGAACGAGAGCAGAUCACUUGCCGGGCCUACUAGCUAGAGACUUGCUGGCCGGCUAACCAGGCUAACCGGCUUGGGUAGAUAGAGCUCGCGAGCUAGCUUGGGGUUGCCAGCAGCAGACAGUAGGUUGGUCUCAUUAAAAGUUCACCGUUGGAGCCGUUUAAGUUCCUCUCUGCAAAACGCUAAUGGACGAACGGAAUUUCUCAAGAUGGGGAAAAUCUCCAAGAAGACGUCGAUCGAAGACUCUGACUCCACCCACCAACGGUCAAACUCACCGCAGAUCUCCGUGCUUAACGUCAAGAAAUCUGUGCGCGGGUGGAGUCAUGGCCGCCUCCAUCGCCAGAGGGCGCAUGGUAAGCUGUAUUUUAAAGACGUUGUCAAGAUGCUGAUGGGACUGGGGAGACCGCCCAGAGAAACAUCCACGACCAGUCACACAGCAGCAGGGGGCAGUAACAGCCAAUCACACGGGUCAACGGAAGCUGCGUCCCCCAUGUUACACAGAUGGCGCCCAAAGCGCCCCUCAGAUCAUUAUCUCCAGCCUGUUUCAGAGUGUCUUCCUCCACAGAAGAGUGACUAUAUUGGCAAAAGUGUUUUUUCACCUGAUAAGUGUGUAUUUGUGGUGGCGUAUGACUCGCUGAGAGGGCAGCUACAGAAUGGGAGUUUGAGCUCCUCUUUGCAGGCAUAUAAAACACUACAAAAAGCUGAUGUUAUGCAGGAGUCUACUUCAACUACAAAUGAAGCGUCUUCGUCACGAGAGACAAAAGCUCAUGCUGAUCGAAUCCUCAACAGGAAGUCCAACAGGAGCAAGUCAAAUGAGGAGCCAGGAGAGGACGAGAGAAAGAUAUGGAUGGCCUUUUGCCGGAGGAAGAAAACAAGUAGGGUAGCUGGCCUUUAUCCUCGUAGCAGGAAACCAACUCGGUCGGAGCCCAUUGUUUUAUCCAGUGAAGACGACGAGGCGGAUGAACGUGAUGAGGGCAGCCAGAUUUACCAGACUCCUCAUUGGAAUCAAAUACCUCAUCAGACACAAGGAGGAGACCUGGAGCUACCGUCCUUCCUGGAGCUGGACUUUUUGUCGCUUGACAUUGGCUUGAUGCAUUCUGAUGCCAGUGGGAAGAUGAAGAUUACAUCCAGCGGAAUUGUUCUCCCGCUUAAAGGAGUGGAAGAAAGCGAGGUGACUGUGGUUGCGUCACAAAUGCUAGGCUAUGGUUUAUGGGAUGGCAGUGUAGCUCUGGAUGGGACUCUGCUAGAUGAGGUGGUAGGGCCCGCGCCGUCGCUCCUCUUCCUGUGGGUGACGGAUGCCCAGGCCAACGUGCUGCACAGGGAGAUAGCCCUCAUCCAGAAUACCAGUGCCCCAGGCCAACCAUGCUCCAUCCUUCUACUGGUGAUGGCAGAGCAGCUUCCUGACUCCCAGGCUGCACUGUUGGCAUCUAUGUUGGAGAUGACGGAGUUCAGGGAAGGCCGCUCCUCCUCAGGAGGGGGGCUGACCUCCCCUCUGGACUGGACUGAUGGGCUGCUGCUCAUCCACAGCUGCCCCGCCCCACUGGACGAACACCUCCUUCGUCUGCUGGGCCAGUUGCCGGAGAUGUCCAAUCCGCUGAGAAGAAGCUGCAGAAAUCAGGCAUCUGCUUUGGAGGUGGCCAGCAGGUUAAUUCAGUAUCCGGCGGCACCCUCCAGAGGCCGGAUCACAGUGACAAAGGAGGACUUGGCCUGUCUGGAAAGUGGCCAGUUCCUUAAUGAUGUCAUCAUAGACUUUUACCUCAAAUUCCUCCUCCUGGAGGGUGGUGGCCGAGCCGUGGCUGAGCGGAGUCACAUCUUCAGUAGUUUCUUCUUUAAACACCUCAGCAGUCGGCAAAUCUCCAGUGAGGGUGCUGCUGUCGCCCCAGAUCAGUACAUGAGGCACCAGAGGGUGAAGACAUGGACUCGCCAUGUUGACAUUUUCACUAAAGACUUCCUGUUUGUGCCCAUCAAUAAGGAAGCUCACUGGUUCCUGGCGGUGAUUUGUUUCCCAGGUCAGGCUGGCACUCAUUAUGAGCAGCGUACAAGUGGAACCAAGCUCCUCAGUAUGAGAUCAGAGCAGCCGCCGCUGCCAAAUAACCCAAGAGCGCUUACCACUCCUGGGAAAGUUCACCACUCCUCCCAGUUUUGUCCAUUCGUGGAUAAUCGCUCUGUCUGAGGUUCGCCGGAGUCCCAAAGCCUUGGAAAUGGCUUUAUAACUUUUUCUGGACUGAUACUGAUUUCAAUCCCUUCGUUUCUUCAAUGAGUAGCAGUAAGUUUGACUUCAGUGUACAGUAUUGUCUACAGUGUACUCUUUGGAACCUACACCAGUACUGACCAGUAUCCAGGUAUUUAUUGAACACACAGGUGUCAGGUUUUUACAAUUAACAAAGAUUUUUUUUUAUCAAAUCGUAUCAUAUUAAAAAGUAGAAUGAUUGAAUUCUUGUAAAAAGUAAUCGUUAUACCCCUGCAGUUUGGUGUUUCAGUUAGUGUGCGAUCAAAGAUUAAAAUCCAAUGUCUUUUUGCAGCCAUGUACAGAGCAAGGUUGCAUGAGGGAGGUCACGUUGACUCGGCCAUGCAUCUUGGUCAUGGACUCUCUGAAAGUGCAGCAACAUGAAAACGUUUGCAAGCUACUGCGAGACUACCUGGAGGUGGAGUGGGAAGAACGUAGGGGGCUA